CCUACGGGGGGCAGCAGUGAGGAAUAUUGGGCAAUGGGCGCGAGCCUGAACCAGCCAAGCAGCGUGAAGGAUGAAUGCCCUAUGGGUUGUAAACUCCUUUUAUAGGGGAAUAAAGUGCAGUAUGUAUACAGUUUUGCAUGUACCUGAUGAAUAAGGAUCGGCUAAGUCUGUGCAAGCAGCAGCGGCAAUACGGAGGGUCCGAGCGUUAUCCGGAUUUGGUGGGUUUAAAGGGAGGGUAGGCUGGUUGUUAAGUCAGUGGUGAAAGUUUGCGGCUCAAACGUAAAAUCGCAGUUGAUACUGGCAUCCUUGAGUACAGGAGAGGUGGGCGGAAUUCGUGGUGUAGCGGUGAAAUGCUUAGAUAUCAGGAAGAACUCCGAUGGCGAAGGCAGCCUGCUGGAUUGUAACUGACGCUGAGGCUCGAAAGUGUGGGUAUCAAACAGGAUUAGAUACCCCAGUAGUC
rnacentral:rRNA from 1 species